GGAAUAUUGCACAAUGGGCGAAAGCCUGAUGCAGCGACGCCGCGUGAGGGAUGACGGCCUUCGGGUUGUAAACCUCUUUCAGCAGGGACGAAGCGCAAGUGACGGUACCUGCAGAAGAAGCACCGGCUAACUACGUGCCAGCAGCCGCGGUAAUACGUAGGGUGCAAGCGUUGUCCGGAAUUACUGGGCGUAAAGAGUUCGUAGGCGGUUUGUCGCGUCGUUUGUGAAAACCAGCAGCUCAACUGCCGGCUUGCAGGCGAUACGGGCAGACUUGAGUACUGCAGGGGAGACUGGAAUUCCUGGUGUAGCGGUGAAAUGCGCAGAUAUCAGGAGGAACACCGGUGGCGAAGGCGGGUCUCUGGGCAGUAACUGACGCUGAGGAACGAAAGCGUGGGUAGCGAACAGGAUUAGAUACCCCUG
rnacentral:rRNA from 1 species